UACGAAGGGGGCUAGCGUUGCUCGGAAUCACUGGGCGUAAAGCGCACGUAGGCGGAUCUUUAAGUCAGGGGGUGAAAUCCUGGAGCUCAACUCCAGAACUGCCUUUGAUACUGGGGAUCUCGAGUCCGGAAGAGGUGAGUGGAACUCCGAGUGUAGAGGUGAAAUUCGUAGAUAUUCGGAAGAACACCAGUGGCGAAGGCGGCUCACUGGUCCGGUACUGACGCUGAGGUGCGAAAGCGUGGGGAGCAAACAGG
rnacentral:rRNA from 1 species